AGAACGCCGAGAGGCUGGCCGAUGCGGGUCAAAGUGUGGUGUCUGUUCUUAUCAGCUUAAUAUAUGAUACGGGUUGUAUUUGGAUCUAAGAUAUUAAACUUAUUUUUGAUAGUUACCGGAGUGCUUGAAGCCUGCUUCACCUCCGCCACGGGUCAGCCAUGUAUUACACCGACUUUGGGAGAAAUUGUCGAUCUACA